rnacentral:rRNA from 1 species
GAUGAACGCUGGCGGCGUGCUUAACACAUGCAAGUCGAACGAUGAAGCCCAGCUUGCUGGGUGGAUUAGUGGCGAACGGGUGAGUAACACGUGAGUAACCUGCCCUUGACUCUGGAAUAAGCCUGGGAAACUGGGUCUAAUACUGGAUAUGACUUCUCAUCGCAUGGUGGGGGGUGGAAAGAUUUAUUGGUCUUGGAUGGACUCGCGGCCUAUCAGCUUGUUGGUGAGGUAAUGGCUCACCAAGGCGACGACGGGUAGCCGGCCUGAGAGGGUGACCGGCCACACUGGGACUGAGACACGGCCCAGACUCCUACGGGAGGCAGCAGUGGGGAAUAUUGCACAAUGGGCGCAAGCCUGAUGCAGCGACGCCGCGUGAGGGAUGACGGCCUUCGGGUUGUAAACCUCUUUCAGUAGGGAAGAAGCGAGAGUGACGGUACCUGCAGAAGAAGCGCCGGCUAACUACGUG